GCUCAGUGAUGAUAUAAAGGCUAAUGUGACUUGUCCAGCUGGGUUUCAUCCUCAGCCCAUUCCAGUAAUACGGGUCUGUAAUCUUGGUGGACAACACUGAGCUGUGUGUGUUCGCUGUAAGGGCAGGCCAACAGAAAAUCCCCUUCCCCGUGUCCCUGGAAAAUAUACUUUUGGGGUGCAUCGGCUCUGAGCGAGUAUUUCCAUGAGCUGACAAGGGGCUAUGGGGACAGGAUGGGACAAUGCAUCCAAGGUUUGGGUUGCAGGGGGCAGCCCAUGUUACAGCUGGUGAGAUGUGAGCACAUGUCUUUGGUAAUCUGAUGACU
rnacentral:snoRNA from 1 species